rnacentral:rRNA from 1 species
AAAAUUAGAGUGUUCAAAGCAGGCAGAUUCAAUUUUCUGCCACCGAAUACAUUAGCAUGGGAUAAUGGAAUAGGACCCUGUCCUCCUAUUUUCAGUUGGUUUUGGCAGCGCGAGGACUAGGGUAAUGAUUAAUAGGGAUAGUUGGGGGCAUUAAUAUUUAAUUGUCAGAGGUGAAAUUCUUGGAUUUAUGAAAGAUUAACUUCUGCGAAAGCAUCUGCCAAGGAUGUUUUCAUUAAUCAAGAACGAAAGUUAGGGGAUCGAAGACGAUCAGAUACCGUCGUAGUCUUAACCAUAAACGAUGCCGACCAGCGAUUAGGAGACGUUGAAUACAAAACACCACCAUCGGCGCGGUCGUCCUUGGCGUUCGUGUUCACGCACGGGCGCGAGGGCGGUUUAGCCCGAUGGCACCGGUGAA